rnacentral:lncRNA from 1 species
AGAGGCCAAGGCUCCCGGAAGUGCCCAUCCAGCCCCUACAGACCUAACGGCGCCACUGUCCCGAGGCGCCAGCAGCCCUCCCCUCCGUCUUCCUUGCCAAGAGAUGCCCGAUUUUGUUCAGGAAACUGUGGCCCUGUGCCUCAGGGCAAGUGGAGCUUCCUCCACCCGACAAGGACUCUGGGUGAAGUUGAUCAUGGGUCUACAUGGCAGUGGUUGAUUCAGAAGGGUGUCUGCAGAAUGCUGACCAGUAAAAUACGAGUUAAGUCUGCUCUGGGGACUUAAUGUGUGACCAAACAUGGGGCAUGUCACCUUCCCUUCUGCGGCCUUUGGCCAUUGUUGUGAGGGGGUGCAGGCUGGAGCUGUGGCAGGCAUGUCCCCGACCAGGAAGGGCCAGCCCAGAAUGGGGGGACAAAGUGAUAGAUGACCCAGGCCCUGGGGCCACCUCAUCUCGAGGGUUUCUGUAGAAAUCUCCACAUGGAGAGCAGUUGUGUCUGAUCUCCUCUCACUUGCAGCUGAGUCUAGUUGAGAAGCCAAUUAGUAAAUCUGCUCUUCAGCACAGGUCAGAGGGAGCUCGGGGCUGGGCUCCCAAAUCAGCCUGGGUUAGGGAAGGGAAGCCAGAGGUGGUGCUGAGAAUGCUGUGGCAGGCAAGGAGUAGGCAGAAGUGGCGUGGCGUUCUUCAGGCUGAAGCAGAGGACCCAGCCAGUGAUGCCUGCAUGCAAAAUGGACGGAAUACCCACAAGAUAAUGCUAGAGACUUCUGCAGCUGGAAUAGCUUGUGUGCUCAACAGCUCCAGCUUUGUAAGCGCCUGAGGCCUCCAUCAGCUGCUUGGGAUGAGCUUCUAGAUGGCCACGAGAUUUCUCAUCCAUUCAACAGAGAUUUAAUGAGUCCGCACCUUGUGUGCUGGGCUUCAGGGAUACGGGUGAAUGAAGAUGCCAGCCCUUUCCCUCAAGUAGCUCACUGCCUAGUGGUGGGAUGUCAGCACAUGGAAAAGCCCUUCCUAGAGGUUCUCUGCCAUGCUGAGCACAGUCAGGUCGUGUUUCUCAAAGACGGUCACUUCAAUGUAUGUGUCCCAUCCCACCUGCUCUUGCUCAGUGUGACCACUAUCUUCUAAUAAAGGAUAGCCAGCGGUGCUGGUAAGUGUUCAACAGCUUGCUUUCUGGAAAAAAAUUUAAAACCCUGAUUUGCAGCACUGGCCAACUUCUGUGGAGUAAAUACUUCCAUCACGGCCAGAGUCAAGCUACCAGCAUGGUGUCGUUGUACACAAAGUUGGGAAGAAAUGCCCAAGAGCACACCAGUAUAUGGUAUUUCCACAUACGGAUGCAAGAGAUGGAAAUAACCUUGGGGGCAUAAAUAAUAGUAAUAUAGAGUAAAAUAAUUUGGAACUGAUAGGUUUUGGGAAUUUAUUGCCUCUGUUUUUAAUAUGAUUUAUUUAAUUGUAAGUUUAUAUAAUUUAAUUUUUAAUGAUGCCUGUGUUUACCAACUGGCUGGCAAAAUUCCUGACAAUUUAACAAUCAGCUCUUGGGAGCUCGUCCUCUCCGGCUCCAGACACCAGACCCCGGAGACCUGAGUGAGACUUGCCCAGCCUGGCCCACUGCACCGCUACAAUGAGGAGAGAGACUGUUAAUAAUACUGUUACUGUUACAGCCCCUAAGUGCUGGGUUGAUUUUGUGAUUCAGCAAUAGAUAACCAAGUCCAUCCUGAUUUUUCAGACGAGGACACAGAGUCCUAGCGUGAAUGUGAACCAGCAGAGAUGGCAGGCGCCGGGAUUCUCACUGAGUCUGGGUCGCCUCCUGUUGCCACCGUGCUUCCUCCUCAAGGACAGCAUAACGCAUUCAAAAUUAAGACGGUCUCAGUCACCUGUAAGUCAUUUUAAGGUCGGAGGCUGAAUCAUCGGCUCGUGAAUGGGAAGUGGGGCACCCCGUUUCUCUCUGACACCCCACUGGGUUCAGGAGACUGGCACAGCGAGAAAGUCACUACCCACAGCACAGGAGCCAUUGGAAUCCUGAUGGAAAGCUGUUAUCCUUGAACUGCUCAUUAAUAAUUCUUCAACACUCCCAUCAGCUUCUAAACUAACAUCUGGAGAACUUCCUUUAUAAAAGGCAAACUUCACAAAAAGAGUUCAGCCUCGUCUACAAACAGCCCCCGCUGUCUGGACCUGGCUGACUUGUCUGUAUGGCUUCGGCUUGUCCUGGAUGCGGCUCACCCUCUGCUGGGAAUUAUUCGGGGAGGUGACACUGUCAAACAGGGGACCACUUGGGAGCUGGAGGAGAGGGCCACAGUCUUCCUCGGGAGGAGCAGUGACUGAAUUACCCGGAGGGCUCCUUCUUUCGAGGACUGGAAGAGGGCGGGUGAGGCGGGUGACAAUGGCUACGUGUCUUCACGGCAGGGGGGCCCGCUGGCAGAGCACCACUAGAGAGGACAGCUUGCAAACCUUUCCCAGAUGGGUCCUCAGAACUGCAAACUUGAGGGUGGCGCACCCUCACCACCUGGGAACAGCAUGUGUCCAGGACUGCCAAGACUCAGAAAGACGAUAUGGGUGAGCGCACGGGAACCGGGAAGAAAUCGACCUGGCAGAGCAAGGCUGGUUAAGGAAAUCGAGUCCACAGUGAAGUUCAUCUCAAUAAACAAUCCCCCACUGGGAGGCUGAACCCGCUUCCCAAACAGAGCUGCUGUUUCCUACUGUUGCGUAAUUACAGAGGUCACCCAGCUGUUGGGAGAGACCACACAUUGUGUUUCCGGUUGUGUAAAUACAAACGAGCCGGCAGCAGCCAGCAGAGCUCCUGAGGGCAAGAAUGGGAGGCUGAGGGAGAGGUGUGCUCCAGGAGAGGACCGGCCGGAGCCCACCCGUCAGUGUGAAACAAGCGAGGCGGUUUCGGUUUCUGUCCUGUCUCUCUCCCCUCACUUGCAGCUUUGGAAAAUUUGGAUCUGUUGUGAAAGGGUAACACUUUUUCCAUGUCUGAUACUGGCAGCGUCAGAUGGGGAGCAGCAGGAUCCUCAACCUUCUUCCAGAAGGUUCAGGAAGCCCACGGGGCUGCACACAUACCAAGCCAUCCUCUGAAACCCUUCUUCCUGGUGGUAUUUCCCCUGGAUGUGUUUGAGCUCUCUCUGAGGCGGCCCUGGAAGCUCUGCCGAUAAUUAGAAGCUGGUGAAGCAGCCUCGGGCCUCGUCCUGGGCUCCUGCCAAGUCCACAGAGGGUUGAGAAACUGAAGGGGGAACCUCCCCUUUCUCACUCUUGGGCAAGAGGAGUGUCCGAUGUGAACAACUGUGGACGCUGAAAGCUGUUUGACCUUGGCAGAGUCACUGAACUCUUGGAGGAGACGCAUAGGACACGCCGUGGCUUGGUUCCCCAGGUCCCCUGCCAUCAGCACAGCCCUUGGAAGAAGACUUCCGUCUCUGCAUCUACAAUGUGGGGUCACAAUGAAAGGCUCUUCUUGGGGUGGUUGUGAGCGUUAGAGGAGCUGAUGCAUGCCAGUACCUGUCCAAGAUGCUAAUAAUAAUUAGCAAUAAUUCCUCUGGGAUUCA